rnacentral:lncRNA from 10 species
GACCCCGGAAGUGCUUGCUGCGCAGGACCCCUUGAAAAAAAAUGAGGACCCGUCUUUUUUAGGUCACAAGAUUGCGCCAACCCUUACAUGGUCCUUAAAAAAAAAACCUUCUGACACUGCAGUAGUGAAAAUGAAGCGCACGAUGGGCGGAAGCUAGGAAGACAAACAUAAAGAUGAAGUGCUUAAUUCAAGGUCACACAAUGUCGGGGAUGGACCUCCAGAUUUCCUUACUGACCUGCAUUAUCUUGUGGAUACCUGAGUGAAUUCCACACCACCCAUUUUAUAGAUGAAACCACUGAGACAUGGAGCAAUUGACUGAGUAGUCACUGCCCCACCCCUGCCUGGAGCCUCACACAUGACUCGCCUCCUCUCAGUGACCACAGGUUGGUUGAGGGGUUUAACAAGGCUAAGAAGGUGAGACGUGGUCUUGUAACACAGUGGUUAAGAAUGUGACUUUGGAGCCAGCCUGCUAGGGGCUGAAUUCUGACUCAGCCAUUUACUAACUGUGUGACCUUAGGUAAGUCAUUUACCUUCUUUGUCCCUCAGUUUCAUCUCGGUUAAGUAGGGAUAAUGAUAGCACCUAUUUUAUAGGGUUAUUGUGAGGAAUAAAUCCAAGUAAAAUGCUUAGAAUAGUAACUGAAACAUAGCACUCAUUAGGAAUGCUUUAAUUUUCAUUUAUUUGAGUAUUAAAG